AACGUAGGACGCAAGCGUUAUCCGGAGUUACUGGGCGUAAAGUGCGGGCAGGCGGCCUCGCAAGUCUGAUGUGAAAGCACUCUGCUCAACAGAGUGAUGCCAUUGGAAACUACAAGGCUGGAGUCUGGCAGAGGUAGGCGGAAUUCCGGGUGGAGUGGUGAAAUGCGUAGAGAUCCGGAGGAACACCAGAGGCGAAGGCGGCCUACUGGGCCAGUACUGACGCUGAGCCGCGAAAGCCAGGGGAGCGAACGGG
rnacentral:rRNA from 1 species